rnacentral:lncRNA from 1 species
GAGAGUUUUAGUUCAACAUAAUAACUAAAUAAAACUCAAUUAAACUUGUAAAUAAUCCCAUAAAGAAUAAUAAACAAAAAGAAAGUUUAAAAAUAAAAACUAGUCAACGAUAGGCUUGGGCGGCUUCUUUGAAUCUUAACACCAAUUCGAAUGCUUGAAGUCUUGGAGAGAGAGAGAGAGAGAGAGAGAGAGAACUAUGUAGAAAAUAAUAGAACAAGA